rnacentral:rRNA from 1 species
UACGGGGGGGGCAAGCGUUGUUCGGAAUUACUGGGCGUAAAGGGCGCGUAGGCGGCCUGCUAAGUCGGAUGUGAAAUCCCUCGGCUCAACCGAGGAACUGCAUCCGAUACUGGCGGGCUGAAUCCGGGAGAGGGAUGUGGAAUUCCAGGUGUAGCGGUGAAAUGCGUAGAUAUCUGGAGGAACACCGGGUGGCGAAGGCGGCAUCCUGGACCGGUAUUGACGCUGGGGCGCGAAAGCUAGGGGAGCAAACGGG